GUGAGUCGGUGUGUAGGUAUCGGUAAUACUGAGGAAACUCCUCUCUCCUAUCAGGAAUAUGAUGUUGAGAAACAUAUCUAGAGAUAGAUGGCAACGGAGCAGAAACGAUAUCCAGACCUGUUAAUACAAUGAUGAUGAAAAUCUGAGGUUCCAGGAUUAGGAAUGAAACGGUCGUCCCAUAUGGAGCAAGGCCAAAUAGAGUUUAUGAUUGCCUGAUUGAGACUCAGGUAGGCCGCUAAGCUGAAUCCUACUUAAAACAGAAAGAGGGUUACAACCGAGACGC
rnacentral:RNase_P_RNA from 2 species